GAUGAACGCUAGCUACAGGCUUAACACUUGCAAGUCGAGGGGAAACGAUAGAGAAAGCUUGCUUUUUCUAGGCGUCGACCGGCGCACGGGUGAGUAACGCGUAUCCAACCUGCCCAUCACUUGGGGAUAACCUUGCGAAAGUAAGACUAAUACCCAAUGACGUCUCUAGAAGACAUCUGAAGGAGAUUAAAGAUUUAUCGGUGAUGGAUGGGGAUGCGUCUGAUUAGCUUGUUGGCGGGGUAACGGCCCACCAAGGCGACGAUCAGUAGGGGUUCUGAGAGGAAGGUACGCCACAUUGGAACUGAGACACAGUCCAAACGCCUACGGAAGGCAGCAGUGAGGAAUAUUGGUCAAUGGACGAGAGUCUGAACCAGCCAAGUAGCGUGCAGGAUGACGGCCCUAUGGGUUGUAAACUGCUUUUAUAAGGGAAUAAAGUGGGAGUCGUGACUCCUUUUGCAUGUACCUUAUGAAUAAGGACCGGCUAAUUCCGUGCCAGCCGCCGCGGUAA
rnacentral:rRNA from 1 species